ensembl:lncRNA
GUAGUAAAACAAAACAGGAGUUUAUGAUCUAUGCAUAGCCACUUUACCCCUACCUACAUGUACAAGUCCAUGCUAGGUAAAGCUCCGCCUUAUCUCAGUUCACUGUUCACGAUGGCAACACCCACCCAUAGCACGCGCUCCAGCAGGUGUAUCUCACUGAUCAUCCCUAAAGCCAACACCUCAUUUGGCCACCUUUCGUUCCAGUUCUCUGCUGCCUGUGACUGGAACGAAUUGCAAAAAUCGCUGAAGUUGGAGACUUUUAUCUCCCUCACCAACUUCAAACAUCUGCUAUCUGAGCAGCUAACCGAUCGCUGCAGCUGUACAUAGUCCAUGGUAAAUAGCCCACCCAAUUCACCUACCUCUUCCCCAUACUGUUUAUAUUUAUUUACUUUUCUGCUCUUUUGCACACCAAUAUCUCUACCUGUACAUGACCAUCUGAUCAUUUAUCACUCCAGUGUUAUUAAUCUGCAAAAUUGUAAUUAUUCGCCUACCUCCUCAUGCCUUUUGCACACAACGUAUAUAGACUCCCUUUUUUUUCUACUGUGUUAUUGACUUGUUAAUUGUUUACUCCAUGUGUAACUCUGUGUUGUCUGUUCAGACUGCUAUGCUUUAUCUUGGCCAGGUCGCAGUUGCAAAUGAGAACUUGUUCUCAACUAGCCUACCUGGUUAAAUAAAGGUGAAAUAAAAUAAAUUUAAAAAACAAAUUAACUCGACUAACCUGUACACCCGCACAUUGACUAUGUACCGGUAACCCCUCAUUACUAACCAGUACCCCUUGUAAAUAGCCUCAUUAUUGUUAUUUUAUUCUGUUACAUUUUUAGUAUUUAAUUUUUUACAACUUUUGUUUAUUUAUUAAAUAUUUUAACUAUAUUUCUUGAACUGCAUUGUUGGUUAAGGGCUUGUAAGUAGCAUUUCAUGGUUAGGUCUGCUACACCAGUUGUAUUCGGCAUUUCAUGGUUAGGUCUGCUACACCAGUUGUAUUCGGCAUUUCAUGGUUAGGUCUACUACACCGGUUGUAUUCGGCUCAUGUGACAUAACAUUUUAUUUGAUUUGUGUUACACACUCAAUGAUAACAUGCCAAACAAUAAUUCUCACUAAACCAGCACCCCAGGGUUCCUAAAAGUGUGACCCUCACAGCAGGGGUUGCGUUAUAGGUCAGGAAGUCCCCAAUCUGGUCCAUAAUCACUGUUGGAAGAAAUUCACAAGAGGUCAGUGCAUUCAAGGAAUAUCAAAAAUUAUAUAUUUAUUUGUUUUUGAAAAAGUGUACCCAUGUGCAGUAUCAUACCGGAGCGCCAAGUCAAGGUCCAAGAGGCUUCUAAACA